rnacentral:lncRNA from 1 species
AUAGAGAUAAACUAUAAACAGCAAUAAUGUUCAGCAAAGUAAGAUUUACAAAUAAGUCAACAUGACUGAAAUGGUCAAUUGACCCCCUAAGGAGUUAUUGUCCUUUAUAGUCAAUUUUUAACAAUUUUCAUAAAACUUGUAAAUUUUUAUUAACAUUUUCCACUGAAACUACUGGGCCAAGUUCAUUAUAGUUAGAGAUAAUUGUAAGCAGCAAGACUGUUUAGUAAAGUAAGAUGUACAAACACAUCACCAUCACCAAAACACAAUUUUGUCAUGAAUCCAUCUGCUUCCUUUGUUUAAUAUUCACAUUGACCAAGGUGAGCGACACAGGCUCUUUAGAGCCUCUAGUUUUCAGAUAACCGCAAACAUUUGAAUUAAAUGACAAAAGUAUAAUUGCAUGUUAGUGUCAGAUUGUGUUGAUUCAAAAAUAAAAUUUGUACCGACCAG